UACAGAUUUGAUUAAUAGAAUCUUGCUGGAUGCGGGUUUUACAAAUGAACUUGUCCAAAAUUAUUGGAGUAAACAGAAAAAUAUCAAAGGAGUGAAGGCACGCUUUGUGGUGACUGAUGGUGGAAUUACAAGAGUUUACCCCAAAGAGGCUGGAGAAAACUGGCAAGAGAACCCAGAGACGUAUGAGGACAGCUUCUACAAACGGAGCCUAGAUAACGAUAACUACGUUUUCACUGCGCCCUACUUCAACAGUGAGUGUUCUUUGGAAUUCAGCCUUCUCAGUUCCUCUUAUGUUUUAAAUUAUUCUUCCUAAUUGCUCACCCUGCAAAUCAAUAUAUUUUGUGAACUACCUAGAAUAGUCAUUAUUAAGUAUAUAAUAUGUAAAAGAGACUGG
rnacentral:lncRNA from 1 species